ACAAGGAUGCCCCACUGACAUGACUGAAGUCAAUCCAGAUCCAGCUGCUGCCUUCUAACUUGGUUUAGAUAAAGAUGCGUCACUGGCAUGACGGAUGACUUCAAGCCAGAUCCAAGUGCUUCCUUCUAACAUGGUUUAGAAGCUGAUGCCUCAUGGUUGAAGAUGGGACUCCAGACCUCAGGCUUUGGCCUAACAUGGUUUUUCUCUAGGCCGUAUCCUGUGGAUCCUUCCAUGGCAAACAGACCACUGUGGCCUUGUGCUCCUCUGAAACUGGACAGAGGGUUUGGAUAUGUAGUUCACCCUGUUGCCUGGAUAAUAUUGUGUAUAUGGUGUGAUUUUCCAUCGUCACAUGUGUUGCCUUAAGUGAUAAUAAAAUAAAAUUUGCAAUGAAUGAAUACA
rnacentral:lncRNA from 1 species